rnacentral:RNase_P_RNA from 1 species
GAAGUAGGCCAGACCGCCGCCGGUGCGAGCGUGGAAACACGGCACGGGAGGAAGGUCCGGACUGCACAGGGCAGCGUAGCAGCUAAUGGCUGUCCACCGCGAGGUGAGGAUCAGAGCCACAGAGACGAGUCUUUGUGGGGUUCCCAAUGAGGGUGUUCUGUCACGCGCCGGCGUCAGCCGGUGCCCGGUGCGGCUUGUCCGCGCCGGGUCGGGCUGCCAAGCCCGAACGUGACAGCCACCCUUUGCGGGGCAAGAGCCCCGCAAAGGGUGAAACGCGGCAAUCUCUACGCGCAGCAAUACCAAGUAGGCACACGACGACCUGGCCCGGGGAGUGUGCGGGUAGGUAGCACCGAGCCGGGCGAGCGAUCCCCGGCCCAGAGGAAUGGCGGUCACGACCGGCCUUCGCAAGAAGGGCGGGCGCACAGAAUCCGGCCUAUCGGUCUGCUUCACAC